rnacentral:rRNA from 1 species
CCUACGGGUGGCUGCAGUCGAGAAUCUUCGGCAAUGAGCGCAAGCUUGACCGAGCGACGCCGCGUGCGGGAUGAAGGCCUUCGGGUUGUAAACCGCUUUCGGUUGGGAGGCCUAUCUUCGGAAGAAGGACGGGCUAAGUACGUGCCAGCAGCCGCGGUAAUACGUACCGUCCAAACGUUAUUCGGAUUCAUUGGGCUUAAAGGGUAUGUAGGCGGCGCUGUCAGUCGGGUGUGAAAUCCCUCGGCUCAACCGAGGAACUGCGCCCGAUACUGCAGCGCUUGAGGGAGACAGAGGUAAGCGGAACUGAUGGUGGAGCGGUGAAAUGCGUUGAUAUCAUCAGGAACACCGGUGGCGAAAGCGGCUUACUGGUCCUUCUGACGCUGAGAUACGAAAGCUAGGGGAGGAACGGGAUUAGAUACCCUUGUAGUC